UACGGAGGAUGCGAGCGUUAUCCGGAUUUAUUGGGUUUAAAGGGUGCGCAGGCGGCCUGUUAAGUCAGCGGUAAAAGCCCGGGGCUCAACCCCGGCGAGCCGUUGAAACUGCCGUGCUAGAGAGGAAGAGAAGUAGGCGGAAUGCGCAGUGUAGCGGUGAAAUGCAUAGAUAUCACGCAGAACUCCGAUUGCGAAGGCAGCAUACCGGCGGCGAUCUGACGCUGAGGCACGAAAGCGUGGGUAUCGAACAGG
rnacentral:rRNA from 1 species